AUGCUACUGCUUGCUUGCUUGUGCUCUUGUUUGAUUUGCAUUUCAACUCCAUUUCUGCCAACAAAUGCAGCCCCAGGUUCUCCUUAGAAUAACUUCUUCCCGGCCAGGCACGGAGUCAAAUUACAAACUGAAUUGGGGAAGGAGGCCAAACGAAGAUCCACCUUGUCUUGCUCCUUAUGUAGGAGUUUACUAGGGCUGCACCUGGGAUUGGCUUUCUCUGCCAGGCCUUUUCUAUUAUCUAAUUCAGCUGUAAGGGAAAAAUAGUGGAUAUAGAUAUUUCAUUCUGAAGGCCAUUCAUGUUAAAAAAUGAUACUCUCUUGGACAAAGGAGACAAUGAUGGAGUGAAAUGCUCUUAUGUGAAAGCCUCUGUCACUCACCAGAAGAAGUUCACCAUCAGUUGAGAGCCCAUGUUAUGUCUCUGGGGAGGAAAGGUAGGUAAAGGAUACAGGAUUGGAAGGUAAGGAACUAAGGUCCUAGCUUUUACUCCCCUAAUGACUUUGUGAUGCUGCACACAUUUCCGAUCUUUUUCUCUCUCUGUGGUUUUUUAAAUUUUCUUGAUAACAUUAGAAUGUUUAGGCUCUUGCCAUAAGUAAAAAUGUUUUCUAUGGAUGUGUGUAUUUGCAUAUUUAUCACAGUCAAAAUAAUCAGUCUCCAAAAAUGCAAAAGAUUGGGUAGGAUUAUGUAACACAUUCUUAAAAUAUUAAAACCUGCACACAUUAAAGCAUCAAGUUAAAUAGUUGUUAACCUGUCUCACUAAUAAUCGCCUGCUUAGAUCCAGUCUGUGAGAGGAAAAGGAAGCAAUAAAUUUGACCUUCACUUACCGCAUGUUUUAAUUGCACAGUACUCCCAGCGGGUGUGAGGGUCAAGAGUAUAGCACCAUGGCCUCGGCUGGCCAUCGGGAUUGCGGCAAUAAUUAUCAUCAAAGCCCUUGUCGGGAUAUCUGCAAACCACACCAAGAAAAGUGUCACGUAAAUCUGCCUGGAAACACCACCCACCCCUCAGCUCACAAAAUAACUUUCCACUUAGGUUGUCUACACCUAGCUGGGGAAAGAGGACGUUUUCUAUGUUUUGCCUUACGAGGACUGCUGAUCACUGACUAUUGAAUCUACUAAUUUAUAUAUCCCACUAAGGACAGAGUAUCAUCCCCUGGCUAAUAAGUUAGGUCUAUGUGGUACCUUUCCACUAGCUGAGGUUCCAAAUCGAGUCUCUUUCUCUUAGAACCCACUUAAGGGCAGAUUACAAAAACAUGACUUCAUGUAGAAUGCUCAUUAAGAAAACAGGUCCUCUUCUAGGGAAGGCUUAAAGUUCAAACUGAAAGUUCAGUUUCAAUAGCGCUGUUACUAAUGAUAACUCAGUUUUGGAAAUAGAGCCCUUCGAGGUCAUGCCCUCACCUUCACCAGAUCAUGAGACAAACUUCAUCACACUACUUUCUCCACACCCCACCUCCCUUCAAAUGAACAGAGUCCUGAAUUGGUGACUUGAUUUUAAUUGCUACCAUAUCCCUUCUGCUCUCACUUAAACGACAAGACAAGCAUUUAUUUGGAAAAUAAGCUGGAGUUUUAAUUUCAUUAAAAAUAACACCAAACAAAAAAGAAUAGAGAAAAAGAACAAAGAAAAAACACCUAACAGCAAUUUCCAAAGAAAGGUGGGGGACGGAAUUUCCUGUGUAAUUAUUUGUAUUUUUAUUCUUUAUAAUCAAAAUAAAUGAACUUCUUCCUUUUUUUUCCACCUUAAAAGUUUCAUGUAAAAUACAUGGGCAAAAGUAGACAUGAUUUUUUUUUUUUUUUUGGCGGAGAUGGGUAAUAAUUUAAGCUCAAAACCUAUUCCUGGGGAUAAAAGAUAGAUUAGUUGCCUGACUUCUCCAAAUUGGCUUUUUAUAUGGGCAAUUUCAAAACACACCAGGACAAAGCAACCUGAAUGGUUUGCUCUACUUUUUACUCCCUAUGACCACUACUUAUGUCAUGCUGUUAUGUGUGUGGCCUGCAGUACCUGAGUCUCUGAAGAUGCUGCUCCAGAAGGAGAUUUGCCUGCAAUUAGUAACAAUACCUCUAAUCACAGCUAAGACUUGUCAAAGUGGUCAUUACUGAAUUGGUCCUGUGGUUUGCUUUGGUUUUGUUUUGUUUCUGCUCUGAGAGAGAAAGAAGCUUCUUUUUGUGCUUCCACUCUAUACCCUGCUGAUGAUUUUGUGUUCAGUACCAUGCUGAUUUUAGAAACUCUGACCAGUUGGCUAUGUAGUCAGUGUUCUCAUGUACCUCAUCAUAAAUCUUUUUGCCCUUAGACUAUUUCCUCCAAAUAUAAUGGCCAGAAAUUCUGUCAGAAGAACUCCUGAACAUUCUGGGAGUUCUAAAUGUUAUGUUCAUGUCCUAUCGGGAAAACAUAAUAUAAAGAGAAUUUCCACAGCAGUGUGUCAUAGAGUGAAUAAUAGUUUGUAAAAGAAUCACUGAAAGCAUGAUUCAUUAAUAUUUUACCUUUCAGGCAAGAAUUUGUGCCGGUGUGGUGUCUGAUGAUCCCAGCGCUGACAAAUCUUGCCUGAUUCUGUAUGAUCCAUGAGACCUCGAUAACUCUCCCCAUUGCAGGUCAUGCAUUCAACUAAUAAAAUUAAAGUAUGGCAUGUUAAUUGUUUCUGACAGCAAAAUCAAAAACACCACUGUUGCAUUUAAAGAACAGCACCUGUUUAGUAAACAGAUUUUUAAAAAAUCCUACACAUCAUUCUAACUUUUUAUUAGGGCCUAAUGUCUAUAAAUAGUGACAUAAACUACUCCCUAUAGAACACAUCAUACAGUUUAAGUGGGAUUUUUGUACUUAGUGUCACACAGAUUUACUAUAGGGCCACGACGCUGUCUAUCUAUUUUUUCAAUAACUGUCUCAAAGGUAUCUAGAAAAUGGAAAUAAAAGACAGAUCCUUGGAAAUUUUUCCCGUGUUGGUCUAAAAUGCAAAGAUCUCAGUAUCUAUUUGUCAGCACAAUAGUGUUUCUCUCUCAAUUUGCCCUCCAAAUACAUACACAGGAAAUACAAAGUUUAAUUGAGUUUGUGUCAUACUUUUAUGGUUAAUGACAUAAUCAAGACCACAUAGAUUUAAGAGACUGGCUUCAUAUAGAAAUCUGGUGCAAUUCAAAGAAUACGGAUAUUUUUAAAAAAUAAAUCACAGCUCCUUUCUGUUAGCGAACAUCCAUGUUGAAUAAGCUGGGCAGGUUUACAUUCCUGUCUGGCUUAGGAUAGAAGAUGACCUGCUAUUGAACUCCAUGUUCCCACUCUUUUUAAAAUGUAUAAGCUAAUGUAAUUAGGUAGGCUCUUACUGAUGAUUUUGUGAGGUUAAUUCAUUGUUCUCUUCUGGCUGGCCUCUUAUGUCACACAGAAAACUGAAUCACAUCAAUUGCUGAAAGUGAGACUUCUCAAACAGACAGGUUGAUUUGUAGCACAGAAAGCAUCCUGUGGAAUAAAUCAUUGCUUGGCUUUCCUAUGAAUCAGGCAAACUUCCUUAAACACAUCAUUUGUAUCUUGCAAUUACUGAUCAUCUAACUUUAGCUGAAGUGGGAAGAGGCAUCAAUGUUUAGUUUUAUCCAACGGAAUCUAGCCUAAUGAGUAUUUGUAGUAAUUUGGGAUUAUAGUAUUAGAAUCAUCACUUUUGAAUCCUUGAUUCUUAUAAUCUAAUAGGGACAUUAACUAUUAACUUUCUGAAACAUGCAACAACUUGGCUUGAUCCAUCUGCUUUCCUUCAUUUAUAUUAAUACAUUAGCUAAGAGGCCAACUCGGCUUCCCUUCAUUUGAUACUGAGAUUUUCCAGACUACACCCAAUAAGCACCUGAACUGUAAAUGAGUGGAGUCCAUGAGCAUAUCAAUAAAGGUGCUCAGGUUGGCCAGGGUCAUAGCAGUGCUCAACAUAGGUGAUGCAAUGUUACAUUUCAGCUUUCCAUUUGAAUGCUUAACAGGUUCAUUUAGGUAUCUCUCUCUUUUUUUAAAGAACACAAAUUUUGAUACCGUCAAAGAAAAUGAUGCAGCAUUUAUCGUUAUUUGUUCCUUCGUGUUGGAUGAAAUGUACAAUAGAGUACUAGGGUCACACAUAAAAGAUAAGUAUUCAUAUGUACAAUUUCUACUCUUGUAUAGUACUCAGGAAAGAGAUUACAUCUAUUAUGCCUCCUUCAGCAAAUGCAGCUUGUGAUAGUAUAUUCCUUUCUAACGAGGGUGAAUAGAAUUAUUUUCUGGUAAUCACUACAUUGAGCAGUAUUAUAAAAAUUUUUCCUUGACUUACACAUUUUAAUGGUUUUAAGAAAAAAUAGCUACAUGAAUGAAACAGAUGGUUCCAUAAGAUGACCACUUUCCAUUAUGAGUGUGGCAGAUCAAUGCUUGUUCAAAUAUGAAUGUGUGCAAAAACCUCCUUGAGAUCCUGUUAAGAGGCAAGUUCUGAGUCAGUGGGUCUGGGCUGGGGCACUAAUAACAAGCUCCCAGGCAUUGCUGCUGUUGCUGGUACUUGGACCUCACUUUGCUCUGCAACUUUCUAGAUAACAGGAUCUAUUAUAAAAGUUCUGGCCAGGCACGGUGGCUCACGCCUGUAAUCCCAGCACUUUGGGAGGCCAAGAUGGGCGGAUCACGAGGUCAGGAGAUCGAGACCAUCCUGGCUAACACGGUGAAACCCCGUCUCUACUAAAAAUAUAAAAAAAUUAAUCAGGUGUGGUGGUGGGCACCUGUAGUCCCAGCUACUCGGGAGGCUGAUGCAGGAGAAUGGCGUGAACCCGGGAGAUGGAGCUUGCAGUGAGCCGAGAUGGCACCACUGCACUCCAGCCUGGGCGACAGAGCGAGACUCCGUCUCAAAAAAUAAAAAAAAGAAGUUCUAAGUAUUUGGCCGUAAUAGUUUUAUAAGAGAGACUAGAUUUUACUAGGAUCUUGAAUAGAUGAGAGUUGGAUAAAUUAUAAAGGGACAAAAUAACAUAAAAUCAGAAGCAUAAGUAUACUAUGUUGAUAGUAAAGGGAAGAGAGAGUUAUGAUUGCAGUUGUGGGCCUAAAAAUAAAUAAAUAAAAGUUAGCAAGAAUAAUGUUACAUUUUAGAAAGCAAUGAAAGUUAUUGUUGGGGUGGGAAUUAAACAUGCCAUGAUUGAAUUGAGAUACUUAAAUAUAUUACAGUUACAUAUUAUUUGAUUGUUUAUACCAUACUUUUAACAUAAAAGGUAUAGGCCAGGUGCAGUGGCUCAAGCCUGCAAUCCUAGCACUUUGGGAGGCCAAGGCAGGCAGAUUGCCUGAGGUCAGGAGUUUGAGACCACCUUGGGUCUGGUGGUGCGUGCCUGUAGUCCCAGCUACUUGGAAGGCUGAGGCAGGAGAAUUGCUUGAACCCAGGAGGUGGAGGCUGCACUGAGCCGAGAUGGUGCCACUGCACCACUCCAGCCUGGGCGACAGAGCAAGACUCUGUCUAAAAAACAAAAAACAAAAAACAAAAACAAACAAAUAAAUAUGAAAACAUGAAAAGUAUCAUCUGAUUCUUACAGUGAGGAAAACAAGUCUCACAAAAGUUUUAAGAGACUUACCUAAAACACAAAAUGUUAAACCUGAGCCAGGAACACAAAUCUUCUGACCCAUAGUCUUAGUAUUUUUUUUGCAUUAUCCCAAACUGCCUUUUUGUUUUAUAUAUUUUAACUUAUUUCCUACAUAUUCUAACUGGUUAUACUUUAUGAUAUACUGAUAGCAAUAACUUUAGAAAGUUGGUAUCCCUACCCUUUUCAACAUUGUCCUCAUUGCCCUCUGCUUUUUUGUUUACAACAGUUAACUUGCUCUCCUGUUGAAGUCUCAUCUAUUGGAGGAAUUGCAGGGAAAGUGCAUGGGAAUGUAACUAGAUUGGACACCUUAUCCAAAGUCAAUGGCUGAAAAGUUGGCUGUUUUACCACGGAAUCAAGCCAUCAAGUUAGUCAUAAGAAUUAUCUCAAGAAAGCCAAAUUUUUAACUCAUAUUCACUUUUCAAGCUUUGGGAAUUCUCAGAUUCUUCUAAUUUUUCUUAAAGUCAAGCAGUUCAGGUGAAACCAAGUCCAUGUAUUCAAGGAAACAGGUGAACAUAUAAACGAUGUAACAGUUUAUAUGUAGGAGUGCCCUUUGGCUCUGUCUAUUGCUGUCAGUACAUUAUUUACCUGCUCCAGCAAGUUCUCCUCUAAAACAAAACAAAACAAAACAAAACAAAACAAGCUAACUACUGCCCUAGAUAGAUCACAAAAACUCACAGAGUAAUGGUUUCUGUUCAUCGGUUCAAUAUUUGUUCUAAGUACAGUUCUGGACUGAAUAAUAGUAGAAUACUACAAAAACUGUAUAUGAAUUAGAAAACACAGAGGAUUAAUUUAACAGCUUUCUCAUCAUACUAACCAACCAAACUUUAAAAAUGUGUUUCAUUUUUCUCCGUCAUAAAACAGGAGUGAUAUGAGUAUACAGACUAAAAGAGUUAUUUUGAAAGUAUCUGAAUCUAUUUUUAAUUAGUGUUUGUUUUAUUCCAUUAAAGACAGUCUCAGAAAAAUCCAUACAGGUGAUUACUUCAACAAAACUGAAUGUUUAAAAUAUAAAUAGUCUCACAAAUUAACAUAUAUAAAUAAAAGUUUGUCAAAUAAAUUAUGAGUUGCCAUUUAAUCUUUGUAACUUGCCAUUUAAUCUUUGUUUUUAAAAGUCUUCACACAGAGUAUCGAAUUAUACACAUAAACUUAUGUCAGUAUUAUGUGGGAUUUUAAAUGUAUUGUAUUUUUUAAAAUAAUGAUUAUGGCUUAAUUAAAAUAUAUUUACUUGAUCAUUUGACAAUCAUUAGAAAUGACAUCUGUUCCAAUGACCAAUGAUUGUUUUAUUUUAAAUUUCAAGCAAACGCUAAAGCAAGAAAAUGGAUUUUGCAUACCUCAACUUUCUAAAACUUUUGAAUCAAGCACUAAUUAUUUUCUCUGUAUAACUCUAUAAGGUUCUUUCUUAAAACUGUCCAAUAAAAGUCUACAUAUUAUGUACGACAUGAUGUUUUGAAGCAUAUAUACAUUGUCAGUGGACUAAAUCAAACUAGUUAACAUAUGCAUUACUUCACAUAGCAAUUUUGUGGUAAGAACAUUUAACAUCUAGUCUCUUAGCAUUUUUUAAAUGUACAAUAUAAUAUUAUUAUCUAUAGUCACCAUUCACACAAUAGAUCUAUUGAACUUAUUCCUCUUAUCUAACUGGAAGGUGAUAAAUGUGAUAGACGAAUAUUUGUUUUCUUUUGGAAUAUUGACUAUAUUUUCAAGUUUUAAAUUAUAAGAAAAUAAUAUUAAUCAUUGACUAUCAGAUACAAUUCUUUUAAUUUUAAACAAAUUUCAGGUGAUUAUAUAGCCAAGUUUUAAGCAUAAUUACAAAAAUUUCAAAAAAUAUAUACUGUUCUAUAUGUCUUUUUCAUUUGAACAGUCUAAAGUUUGAUUAUGGGUGUUUUUCUUGUUUAAUUUUAAAUAUGCAAAAUGACUUUAUAGUUGCUACCUUAGCCAUAAUAAAAUAACCUUUAUAACUUACCAUUUAAUUUGUAUCCAUGGAUAGAAAUGGCCCAUCUAUUAUACAACUUAAGCAUUCUGGAUUUUGAGGUUUCCCCCUUAUAUGUAUUUUAGAAGAAAUUUAUAUCAUGUCACAUUAUUUUGUAUAUUUUAUAUUAUUGAUUUUAUAAGUCACUCUUUUUCUCUGCCAAUGUUUUGACAAUGCUUCUUAUUUUGGAUCUUUUUCAUUAAAAUCCUGCUAACACAUUGCUUGUGUUAGCUGGAAUUUAAAAUAUCACAGUUUAACUCAUAGUCUCCAAAAUAUGUUUAACCUACAGGGCAGAUGUUGGUUCCCUUCUCCCACAGGAGAGUUAUUCCACUAUUGCCAGGCCACUAAUUAUUUCCAGAAAGAACAUGUCUGCAACCUUUGGUGCCGCGGUGACCAAUAGCAUCAUGUGCCAUUAAUACCAACGAGCAAUGCCCUUUUCUAAGGGAGGUGUGAUGAUCUCAAAUUAUUAAAGAUACUAGACAGUUACAUUCUAAUGAGAUAAGAAUAACUGAAAAUAGGAUUUAUUCAAGGACUUCUUUUCUAGCACUUUUAAUCUAUGUCGCCUAGCAGUCCAGUCCUAUGUUAAGUAAGUAUAUUUUGAUGAAUGUUUUCCUUAUAAACCCGUAGUGGAAAAAUCAUAUUCUCACAAGAACCAGGCAGGUAACGAAAAUAGUAAGCUGUUUAAAGUUUGGCCAAGGUACCGGCCUUUGAAAACACGUUUUCAGGUCAAACAAAACCCCUUGUCAAUGAUUUUCAACCUCAGAAAACUGUAAUAGGAGAGAUUCCCCUAAAAGUAGGGUUUUUUUUCUUCCAUGUGCAAGUUUAAGACAAAUAUUAAUUCGUUCAGACUUAUUCAUACAAAACAGACUUGUUCAAAACGUGAUCAUAGAAAAGUUUAUUAUUUUUAAAAGAAAAGAAAACAAUGAAGAGGUUAUAGGGAACAGAAUAUGAUAUGGAAUGGAAAGUAAGAAUUUACAAACAGAGAUGGAACUGGCUGUAGCACAUAAAGUCAAGGAUUUCAAAUUCACUAACAACAGAAAACAAAUCCUUCUCUGUGACAAUUAGCUAACAGUAGCCUUUACUUUUUAUGUGAUAAAUAUCAACCUAAUAUUAAAUGAAUAUUUAUGGAGGAAAUAUUUUUAAAAAUAUUUGGUUAAUAACAAACAGGUAAGAUAUCUUAGUAUAAAACUUGGACAGCAUUCCAGUAGUCCCCCUCCCCAAAUACUCCAAAAUCCUAACAAUUUUCUAACAGAGUUUCAUCCAUGUUUCACUUAGAUUUUUGGAAAUUUAGAGUUUCUGACAGAACUGAAAAAUCCGGCUAUUCAGUAGCCAGAUAACUAAGAAAAAUGAAACCACAUACAAUGCUGAAAUGGUUACUCUUCCAUCUUGUCAGCCAUUCAGUUUUCCACUGCAAAAGUAAGGACAAUGCCCUUUUAUGCUGUGAGAAGAGCUGAAAACAUAGACAUGGACUUAAGGUCCAUAGACAUGCCUUCAAGACAGUUUGGUGGUCUCCAUUGCUUUGAUCUCUUCAGAUCCUAUUCUGAAUGGUACUCAGUUCCAGCCUACGUGUCACAUUUGAUUCUAGGCACAUUUUCACCAAAAUGUGCAUGGGGUCAAGCUUCCAGUGAUCCCUUCUUAUAUUGUAUUAUCUUCUGGGUCCAUAUACCCUUGUCACACCACUUCAUGAUAGUUUGGACAGAAUUUCUGUGGAAGCAGGUGCUGGUUGAAUAGAAUUAACAUUGCUAAUGAAAGGCUAAGCUUCAUUCAACUCCUUUCAGGUGCCACACAGUAGUAGAUUUUGAGGUAUGUGAGCUCAAGACAGUAGGUAAGUAAACCCUCUCUUUCACUUUCCCCAGAGGGAUGUCUCAGGCAGUGUUGAAAUUCAAACUGAUAACUCGCUCUGUUAUUUUGCAUUAAUCUGGUGAUAAUCCAACAGUUUUAAAAACAUUGUAUAAAAAUGUUUAAAUAAUUAUUUGUAGUUGCAUUUGCACGAACAACAUAUUUGUUAUGAUUGAUUCGUUGCUGUUAACCUUUAAUGUGAGUUACAGUUCUACACAUAGGGGGAAUAGAAUGGCCCACAUGGCAUUCAGGUUUAUUUACCUUCUGAACACUGAGGAAUGUCACAGACUUCGUAGCGUACCUCUGGAUUGCUUGUGAAACACCAGGGUCCCCCUUCUUCCCCUCGAGGAUUUCGACAGUAGUUUUCCUGUAGGUCUUUACCCCGAUAGCUCGAAGGCAAAAAGCUAGUUUUAAAAUGAUAAUCAUUACAGUAUAAGAGCAUGCAACUUUUUUUUGCCUAUUAAUUUUACUAAUUAGUGGGUAUGUUUUUGCUGAAGGUAGAAAAAUCCUUUAUCUUAUAUUCCUUCAUAUAUUUUACCUUAAAAUUCUGUCAUUUUCAUCUGUCCUUAAAACGUUUGAAUUUUAUUAACAUCCAUUUAGCUGAAUUUCCAUAUUCACCAUCAAGUUAGAAAGAUGAGCCUGUGAAUUUGCUGAGUCAAACAUUCUAGAACUGAAUCGAAGUUGUCUGAAACAUAAUUUCAAAGCUCCACUAAAAGAUAGCAGGUGAUUGAGCAAGGCCACUUAGGACAGAACUGAGAAAUCGCUGCCACUGAUUUUGAAAUCUCACUAUUUCUUGCAUUACUUAUUUGAGAUCAUUACUUGUUUGUUUAUUGCUUUUCUUAUAAAUAGCCCCCUUUUUUCUGCACAAUUGAGAAACAGAUUCAUGAAGUAACAUGAAUAAAGAGCCCAGAAUCCAGUUAAAUCUGGGCUGAAACUUCAGCUCACUUUCUUACUGUGAGACCCCAGUAAGUAAUUUAGCUUCUCUCAGCCUAUUAGCUUACCUGUGCACUGAGUGUAACCAUAACCUUUAACAUCUUACACCUUAUAUGGUUAUUUUGAGAAGCUCCAAGGGAUAAUAGAGUAAUUGACACUUAACAAAUGCUACCUCUUAUUAAGCACACUCCACUUUGUAGUCUGUAUCUACUGUGUCCUAAUAAAGAACAGAAUUGCUUAUUCUCUUCAAUAAUUUUGAUCAUUUUGACUGACUGGAGCUUAGUGAUCCCAGUUUUGGUUUAUAAUAGUAAGCCAUUGAGUGCAGUAACUGCAACACAUUAUCUUCACUUAAAAUUUCUAGUGCCCUACUCUUAGUGUUAUUACCAGCAUAAAGUAUUUUAACACAUUAGAAAAGGCCAAGUCUUUUUUAUACUUUUGUACUGCUUGUGAUAUUGGACUCAACAAUUAGAUAUUGCAUUUGUCUGCCAGACUUUACACAAAAGAUCAUAAUAAAGAAUAUACAUCUACAGGUAAUACCAGUAAACAUUUCUUUGAAAAUCCAGUUACAUUUUUAAUAUUCAGCUUGUGUUUUGUUAACAGGCUUUAUUUCUACUUUUACUGAGACCUUGAGUUCUAAAUGGCACUAAAAUUAGAGUGAAGUCCAAGGAUUUUAGUAUCUUAGUAAAUACCAUUCAAAUGUGUUUCCUACCCAAUGAAACUUCUAAUAAACCAUCAUUUUUCAUGUUGUGACACAAAACAAAUACAGGUAUGCGUCAUGUACCAAGCAAUAUUUUGCAAUGAAAUUCUUUCAUUUUGACAUGAGUGUAUUCUAGAGUUAAGUCUUCAGAAAAUAUAAAUUAUUGGACAAAACAAAUAGUGUAAGAGACUUAUUACUAACUAAACAUUUUCAGGGAACCAGUGAAGUAUUAUCCAUAUUAUGCAACUUCAAUGCAUCUAAGUAGUAAUAGUUAAUAUCCAUACUUAACUAGCAUUCCUCAUAUGGGGAAAUAGAAAUAAGACAGGUUGUCAGACCGUAUGACUGACAAAAAUUAUAAUGCAACUAAAAUUCAGCAUAAUUUCACAAUUCCUAACAGUAAACUUUUUUAAAAAGUCAUUUUUCUUACUUUUAGCUCCAUCAUUCCAGAAUAUUUUAAUGCAUCUUUUGUUUGGGCCAUGGCUUACUCACUUUUCUGAUAGAAUCAAAUGUGACUUUUGCUUUAUAUGUUUUCAAGAAGUCAUGCACUAAUCAAAUUUAUUUAAGCAAAGAAUACUAUAGCUCUCUUUUAUGGAAAAGUUGAUAUGGUAGAGUGGUGAGAAGUUUAUUUGUUAAUCAUAAAACCCAUACGGUUGCCCCAUAUCUAUCACCUAAAUAGUAUACAACCUUAGUCCUUAGACAAUUUAUUUACUCCCUGGGUUUUAAUCUCUUCACUUAGAUGAAUAAUACGAACUAUAAUUUCCCUUUUUCUAUAUCAUUUUAUAUAUUAAGAUUAUUUAAGAAACCUAGUAGUUAUAGCAAAUGUUCAAUACACAAAUACUCAAUAUUUAUAGUUUGAGAGAGGAUUUUUGUCCCCUCUACACAUGCACACCGAAAUACACAAAGUGAUACACCCAUAUACCUUUCCAGUGGAUUUGUAAAGCCAAAAAAAAGCUGUGAGGAAGUAGUGAAUUAAUAAGUCAACAAUUUAUUAGGACAAAUACAGGUAGAAAGGAAGAGAGAAUAAUGUAGAAAUCAAAAGUAGAUAUGGCCAAAACACGAAUAAAAUUCCCCCAUUGGAGUUAAUAAAAUCAAAAUGAAGAGAAAAGAUGGGCUCCUUUCCACAAUUCUGAAUGCAAUUCAUAUCAAAAACCUCUCUAGGACAUGAAGGUUAAAGAGCAGUCUGGGUCAUCUCUUUUCUUCAUUCUGUGGUGUAUUUUAUCUUUUACCUAAAUUAACUGUUUUUUUUUGUUAGUGUCCCAAUGUAUUUCCCCUGCUUUUCUUUAGCACCCCAUAUUUGACCAAGGGAUGAAGCCUAGCCAUGCUCUUUCACUUAUGUGUGUUCAUUCAACAAGUGUUUAUGAGAACCCAUUACACACAAAGCAUGUGCCAGUCAGCAGAUUCUGUAAUAAGCAUUUAUUCAUAUAUACACUAUUUUUGGUUCUCUGUCCUUGCUGUUGGCAAGGCUUUAAGAGAGACAAGUGAGGAAAUGUUUAAAAUUGGGUUACAUCCAAAUAUACUUUGAAAUAUAAACUAGGUCUUCUAGGUGCUAGGCUCCCUUUGUUUUCUUUUAAUAUUCACUGUGUUCCUAGGAAACUUGAUCUAUUCCAUCAUCUGAUUCAUUAAUGAAUGCUGGGUGGCCAAUGAAGGAUACAGAUGUAGAUAUCAGGUCACCUGAUUUUCUAGUUAAGCUUCUACAUUAAUUUCAUCAUCUUUCAUCAUCUUUCCAUUAAGCCACUAGUAAAAUAUUUCAAUUUAGGGGUCAACAAUAAAUCAUUCCUCCAGACAGAAACAUAUUUCUUUUUCUAUUUUCUGUAAAAUUAAUCUUUAGUCAACACUUAAAAGUGUUAAACCAUCAUGCAGAUAUUCCAAUAAGCUGCUAAUUGAUGAAAAUUAUGUGUUUCCCUCAUUGAAUACAAAAAGGGAUUUUAUUAAUAUACUGGAUCCUCUCGGCCAUAAACAUCUAUAUCACAAGGAAGUGUUCAUUGGUAAAAGAGCUGAUUGGACUAGGAAGCCAGUUCCCAGAGAGAUCUAUUUCACAAUUACUCCUCCAGCAGAGAAUCACGAUCAUAGAAAACUCAGGGUGAAAUAAGACCUCUACUAGGUUAAUCUAAUGCAUUCUCCUGGACUAGGGUAGGAUUGAUUUCAAAUGUCAUUCCUUUGUUCAUGAAAAACUUAGAUCCAUCUACUUAAAUAAAAUGUUUUCUUCACUAUGCAGGGAGUAACACCAUGCAAACUCUCAAAAGAGGACAAAACCAAUUAUAAUUUUUGUUUUUGUAAUAUAAGGAAAAUACUGUGUUUUAGAGGCAUUUCUACAUAAUUGUAAGUAACUAAUUUUGAAAAUUGUUGUUUUCUGUUAUUGAAAUGUUGUAGAGAUGAUCAGCUUGGACACUUACUAGCUAGUGUUAAUUAGGCCAAGAUCAUAGGUUUAAUCCCAGUGUGGAGCAACAAACUCUUUUUCUUUCUGUGUUGGUCAAUAACUCAUCUCUGUUUCCUAAUGAAGAAUCAUCUUGCAGAAUUGUGUCCCCAAAAUGGAAUAGAAUAAAAAGUGGAUUCAACAAGGCAGUCAUCACCACCACUGCAAAAACAAAUCACAGCAUGGGUUCUACUGACCGGCCAAAUGUGUCAUGCCCUGAAGUUGUUAAAAGCGCAGGUUAUAGAGUGAUGGUGACUGGGCUUAUAUUCUGGCCAUGUCACUUCCUAGUUGUGCAUGACACUGAAAACUUACUAAGUGUUUUUAUGCUUCAGUUUUGUCAUGUAGGUAAAAUAGAACCAAUAAAACUACCCGCUGUGUGGUUCUCAUUACAAGUAAAUGAGAUUAACAAGGUACAGUGCUCAGCAAGGUACAUGGUAAAGUAAACCCUCCAAUGCAUUACUAAUAAGGGGAGAGCUGUUUUAAACUACUUUGGUUUCUGAUAAAAUUGUGUGUGAAAUAAGCCUUGACUAAUACUCCAGUCAGUAUUAGAUAUCUAUGUUUUUCCUCAGUGAUGAUUAAAACUCUCAGUCUGACGAGCCUAAGUAUAUUGUGUUUACUCAUCUUUAAAUAGUACCCAUCUGUCGUAAUGAACACAUUUAUCCAAUUUGGUCUUUAGGCGAUAGGUGAGAUGGAAAAGCUGGUCAAUCUGAAGCUUGAGCUUUUAGCAGUGGUUCUCAAAUUUGGCUGCACUUUGGAAUCAUGGUGGGAGCUCAAAAAAUACUGGUGCCCUAUUCUCCCCAGAGAUUCUGAUUUAAUUGUUCUGUGUUGUCAUCUUCUAAGUAAGAUUCGUCAAGGGCUUGCAGCAGGUGAUUUUAAUGUGCAACCAAUGUUGAGAUCCACCAAGGUUAAAGAACCCUCAGCCCUCAGUAAGAUUCUCAUCUACCUCUGAUUUUUCACAAUCAACCUCUCCCCCUGCACAGUGCCGUACUUUCUCAAAGACAGGAAGAAGAAUCCUUUUAAACGAAGUUUACGUUAUUAUUUCACAAAUACCGAGAUCUACAAAUUGAGGCAUUAAGGUAAGAUAUUGUUUUGGCUACAUUUUAUUAACAUAUUAAUUAAUCAUUUGCUAAAUAUCAGUCAUGAAUUCAUAUAAACCUUGCCGUAAUACAAUUCAGCAAGUUGGCUAAGUUAUUUUAGGAUUGUAGAAUUAUUCUGAAGGACUAAUAUGAGACUGUUAACAUGUAAAAAAGACAGAGGCUUCAUCUCUUUUCUUCAUACUGUUCUUACCUGUGUUCGUGUGGUAUCAUGGAACUCCAGGGCUGACAUUUGAUGCCACUCUUAGUGAUAGAUACUGUUCCCUUGUAGCUGCGUCCUUUACCAAUGAUGCAGUUUCUAAUGUAGUCUAUUGAAGAAAGUAGAUAAAAUUAUUGCAACUAUGCAAAACAUAUGCAGUAUUUAAGAAAAAAAUUCCGUUCAAACCUGUAAGUAAUUAACUCUUGUAAACUAUUUCAAAUAACAUUGAAAUUUCUUGCCUAAAGCUUCUACUAGUAUUUUCAAAAUAACACAUUUCUGAAUAAUCCAAAACAAACAGAUGAUUGAGAAGUUUUAAUUUUGUGUAUAUAUGCAUAGAUAGCUCCAGAGAGCAGUCGCUGUACUUAACAUAGUCUGUAUACUCAGCUAGCCAAGCAAUUAUGAUUUGCUCAAAUAUAUAGACCAUUUUAAGAAAAUAUUAAAAACAAAAAUUAAAUGAUUUUUAAAACCUAUAUUGAAUUCAAAAAGUUACCUAAGAUAAUUAAUUUGUCCUUCUUAGUAAAAUUGUGUGGAUUUUUGUUUAUAUAUGCAUAUGCAUGAGGUAGCUUGCUUAUUAGUUUCCAUAUUUUUGCAAACAUUUCCACUGCUGAUAGGACAACCAAAUUGUAAUAACCUAUAUAUUCCUACCAAAUAAUAGUACAUGCAGUUGUUAGCAAGCUAGAAGACAGUUUGAAGUAAGAAUGGUGUUAUACUAGAUCAUGAAUUAUGUUCAAGAUUUGUAGUAUUAUUGAGGUGUAUAAAGAUUAACUUACUUCUACCAUAAAUUUAUUUUUAAUUUUAUUUAAACAUUUACCCUAUUAACUUGAAAACAUCUAUAUAUUGUACCAGGUUAUGUAUCUGAAUUUAAUAGGACAUGGUUGUUUAACAUUCUUCAAUUAUUUCAUUUACUUGAUUCUGCUUUUGAACAAAGUAAAUACCUAGUGAACAUAAUAUCAGACCACCAGAAUAGGCAAUCAGCAAAUAAUAUGGUCUCAAUUCCUCCUUUAAAUAUUUUUUUCAAGUAUAUGAUGAAACAUAGUCCCAACUCAUUUCUCCAAAAUCUCCAUAUUUUGUUAUCAUCAGUAAUCAUCACUAUAAUUUAGUUAUCCAACAUUGUUAAAUGCAAAAUACUAUAGCAAACUCAGAAUUUGCUGUAAUAUAAAGUGUUUUAAACUUUAUAAUGAAAGAAAGUAGCACUUUCUAAAAUGAACAUGGAGAAUGCCAGUUCUAGGAGAUGCUCCAAAAAAAUAAAAAUAAAAAUAAACAGAGGGAGGAAGGGAAUCAAGAUUAUGAAAAGUUUUGAAAAUGUUCUCCUUAAAGUACCAUACUAAAAAUAGUCAAGAUACUAGUUUCAACUGUCUUAAUGGAUGAAUUGACUACAUAAAAUAUCUCAUAUAUAGUAGAAAAAUCAGUGAGAAAGACCACUCUGGCAGGAAAUUACAAACAUACAUUUCAUUAUACUUUAUUUCAUUAUGCAAUAUUUAGGGAGAAGUCAGUUACCUUUGUUUUCAUAGAGGUCAAAUUCAUGGCCAAAUUCUUUUUUCACUCCACUUGACAUGCUAUUGAAGGGGAACCAGAGGCAUUGUUUUCUUGCUUUAUCAAAAACAAAAGCCCUGAAAAAAAUAUCAGAAUGAAAAGAAGAAAUACUACUAUUUAUACAGUAUUUAAAGAAUGGGCAUAUGGUUCAUCUUGUCCAUGGGCAUAUGGACAAUAUAGAAACAAAUGCAUAAUUACAUAUACAUAAUAAAAAUAUGAGUAAAAUUUGAACCUACCAUUUUGAUAGCCAAACAAGAAAGAACAAAAUUAAGUUUUUGUAGGAGUAGAUUUAAAUAUCAGAUUGAAUACUCUUUGGAAUAUUCUCAUGUUAUUCCAAAAGGCUUGU
rnacentral:lncRNA from 1 species